rnacentral:rRNA from 1 species
GACGAACGCUGGCGGCGUGCUUAACACAUGCAAGUCGAACGGAAAGGCCCUGCUUUUGUGGGGUGCUCGAGUGGCGAACGGGUGAGUAACACGUGAGUAACCUGCCCUUGACUUUGGGAUAACUUCAGGAAACUGGGGCUAAUACCGGAUAGGAGCUCCUGCUGCAUGGUGGGGGUUGGAAAGUUUCGGCGGUUGGGGAUGGACUCGGGGCUUAUCAGCUUGUUGGUGGGGUAGUGGCUUACCAAGGCUUUGACGGGUAGCCGGCCUGGGAGGGUGACCGGGCACAUUGGGACUGGGAUACGGCCCGGACUCAUACGGGAGGAAGGAGUGGGGACUAUUGCAAAAUGGGCGGAAGCCUGAUGCAGCAACGCCGCGUGCGGGAUGACGGCCUUCGGGUUGUAAACCGCUUUCGCCUGUGACGAAGCGUGAGUGACGGUAAUGGGUAAAGAAGACCGGCUAACUACGUG